GUAAAGAUGCCAGAAAAAUUUUUGAUAUAUGGGGUUAAUUUAGGUUUAAUUUAUGAUUGGUUGUCUCUUUACU
rnacentral:tRNA from 1 species